rnacentral:hammerhead_ribozyme from 1 species
AUCCUACUGACGAGUCCCAAAUAGGACGAAACGCUAGUCAAACUGGAU